UGCCAGCCGCCGCGGUAAUACGGAGGGUCCAAGCGUUCUCCGGAUUUAUUGGGUUUAAAGGGUGCGCAGGCGGAACUUUAAGUCAGUGGUGAAAUCUUGCCGCUUAACGGUAAAAUUGCCAUUGAUACUGAAGUUCUUGAAUGUAGUUGAGGUAGGCGGAAUGUGUUGUGUAGCGGUGAAAUGCAUAGAUAUGACACAGAACGCCAAUUGCGAAGGCAGCUUACUAGACUGAGACUGACGCUGAGGCACGAAGGCGUGGGGAGCGAACAGGAUUAGAUA
rnacentral:rRNA from 1 species